AACGAACGCUGGCGGCAUGCCUAACACAUGCCAGUCGAACGAGAUCUUCGGGUGUAGUGGCGCACGGGUGCGUCACGCGUGGGAAUCUGCACUCAGGUUCGGGAUACUACUUGGAAACGGUGGCUAAUAUCGGAAGACGACGUUUAGUCCAAAGAUUGAUCUCCUGAGGAUGAGCGCGCGUCGCAUUAGCUUGUUGGUUUGGUAAAGCCGCACCAAGGUGACAAACCUUAGAUGGUAUGGGAGGAAGAUCAGCGACACUGGGACUGGGACACGGCCGAGACUCUUGCGGGAGGCAGGAGAGGGUGAUAUUGGAAAAUCGGGGAAAGGCUGAACCAGCUAUGCUGCGUGAGCGAUGAUGUCCUGAGGGAAGUAAAGCUCUUUUACCCGGGACGGUAAUGACGGUACCGGGAGAAUAAGCUCCGGCUAACUCCGUG
rnacentral:rRNA from 1 species